UUAAGAUGGCGGCGUUUGCACGGAGUGCAAUCACUGCGUCCUUACGGGGGUUGCAAGGCGUCCGAAGUAUGAGUCCACUAACAAAAGUCCAGAAACUCGCCAGUUAAUAGUAUUGUGUCUCUUCAAAAUAUCGGAGAAUAAUUUCUUUCUCGCUGAUCGCCUAACUUCUACUGACGAAGCUUGGAAGUUGCAGAAGAUGGAGUUCGCUCUUGUUGCCCAGGCUGGAAUGCAAUGGCAUGACCUUGGCUCACUGCAACCUCUGCCUCCCCAGUUCAAGUGGUUCUCCUGCCUCAGCCUCCCGAGUAGCUGAGAUUACAGGUACUGGCUCCUGUAUCACCCAGCUCUGGAGUUGAAAGAGCUCUUCAUUCCUGAGUCUCCUGUACCACUGAGAAUAGUUUCUUCAAAGGAAAGAAGCAACUGGAACACACAUAUAACACUAACCCUUCCAGCUGCAUUAUGAGGGACCAGUACCUGUCUCAAGGCAAAAUUAUGACUUAGUUCAUCCUCACCUCUGGAGGCCAGUAAAAGUGGGUUAUAGAAGAACAAAGAGGCAUCUAGAUCUUUCACUGGGUUAUUUGGAGAGAAACAUCUCCUACCGAAGGCCAGUUUAACAAGACUGGUAGAGGAGGUUAUCUUAUCUAAUUCACAGAAAUCAACACAUUGAGUCAAGAAAAAUGAAACACAGAAACACUCUAAAUAAAAGAAGAUAAGUCUUCAGAAACCAACCCUAAUGAAAUGAAGAUAUGUGAUUAACCUGACAGGAAAUUAAAAAGAGCAACCAUAAAGAGUCUCAUGGGAGCAAUGCAUGAACAAACUGAGAAUUUUCAUAAAGAAAUAAAAGAUAACAAAAAGUAUAAAGUUGAAGAAUACAAUAACUGGACUCAAAAAUUUAAUGUGUCCAACAGAAGAAUCGAUGAAGCAGAAGAAAGGGCUAUCAAACUUGUAGAUAGGCCAUUGGAAAUCAUGUAAUGUGAGGAGAAAAAAGAAAAAAGAUUGAAGAUAGUUUAAGAGACUUUUGAGACAUCCUCAAAGGGGAAUAAUUUAUACAUUACCAGAUGGAGAAGAUAGAGGGAAAAGGACAGAAAACAUAUUUGAAGAAAUAAUGUCAGAAAACCUCAUAAUUCUGGCAAGGAAAUAGAAAUUUAGAUCUAAGAAUCUCGAACAUCAGGUAUGAUGAAUCCAAGGAGACUCACACCAAACCAUAUUGUAAUUAAAUAAAGGUUAAAGACAAUCUUCAGAGCAGCAAGGGAAUAGUCUCUUCUUACAUACAAAAUGAUCCACGGAAGACUGUCAGCAGACUUCACCAGAAAACUUUCACGCCAGAAGGCAGUCGUGAUAUAUACAAAAAGCUGAAAGGAAAACACUGCCAUCCAGGAAUACUAUCUCCAACUAUCCUGUGUUUCAAAAAUUAAGGAGAAAUAUAAAGUUCUCAAACAAAAGAUGUGGGAGUUUACCACCACUAGACCUGCACGGGAAGAAUUGCUAAAGGGAGUCCUUCAAGCUGUAGUAAAAGAGUGCUAAUUAGAAACAUGAAAACAAAUACAAAAAAAAUUCUAAAACUUGUAUGGAACUACAAAAGACAUUAAAUAAUCAAAGUAAUCUUGAGCAACAAGGACACAGCUGGAGGCAUCACUCUACCUGAUUUUGUAAUCCAUUAUCAAAAAACUGUGGUACCAGCAUAAAAACAGAUUCACUGACCAGUGGAACAGGAAAGCCCAGACAUAACUCAUACAUUUCCAUCCAAUUGAUUUUUGACAAAAGUGGCACACAGAAUGGGGAGAGGACAAAUAAAUAAAUAAAUUGUUUUGAGAUAUCUGUAUAUCUAUAUGUGAAAUUGAACCAUUUUCUCAUAGCAUAUAGAAAAAUCAACUCAAAAUGGAUUAAAGCCUGAAAUGUUGCCUUUGAAACUGUAAAACUACUAGUAGAAAAUAUAGGGGAAAAGCUCUAUGAUGUUGUUCUGGGCAAUGAUUUCUUGGAUACAUCCUUAAAAGCAUGGGCAGCAAAAACAGCCAGACAACUAUCAGGGAACCUGCCCAGAUAGUCACAUAGGUUCUUUUCUAUUUUCCCUAAGCAUUGGCCGGGUUGAGAAAUAAAGGGACAGAGUACAAAAGAGAGAAAUUUUAAAGCUGGGCAUCCUGGGGAGACAUCACAUGUCGGUAGGUUCCGUGAUGCCCCCUGAGCCGUAAAACCAGUAAGUUUUUAUUAGGGAUUUUCAAAGGGGAGGGAGUAUACGAAUAGGAGGUGGGUCACAGAGAUCACGUGCUUCACAAGGUAAUAGAAUAUCACAAGGCAAAUGGAGGCAGGGCGAGAUCACAGGACCACAGGACUGGGUUGAAAUUAAAAUUGCUAAUGAAGUUUCGGGCACCAUCGUCAUUGAUAACAUCUUAUCAGGAGACAGGGUUUGAGAGCAACCUGUCUGACCAAAAUUUAUUAGGUGGGAAUUUCCUCGUCCUAAUAAGCCUGGGAGCGCUAUGGGAGACUGGGGCUUAUUUCAUCCCUACAGUCUCGACCAUAGAAGACAGCUACACCCAAGGGGGCCAUUUUAGAGGCCCACCCUCAGGGGCACAUUCUCUUUCUCAGGGAUGUUCCUUGCUGAGAAAAAGAAUUCGGCGAUAUUUCUCCCAUUUGCUUUUGAAAGAAGAGAAAUAUGGCUCUGUUCCGCCUGGCUCACCGGCGGUCAGAGUUUAAGGUUAUCUCUCUUAUUCCCUGAACAUUGCUGUUAUCCUGUUCUUUUUUCAAGGUGCCUAGAUUUCAUAUUGUUUAAACACACAUGCUCUACAAUUUCUGCACUUAACACAAUUAUCACAGGGUCCUGAGGCGACAUACGUCCUCCUCGGCUUACGAGAUGACAGGAUUAAGAGAUUAAAACAGGCAUAGGAAAUCACAAGGGUAUUGAUUGGGGAAGUGAUAAGUGUCCAUGAAAUCUUCACAAUUUAUGUUUAGAGAUUGCAGUAAAGACAGGCAUAAGAAAUUAUAAAAGUAUUAAUUUGGGGAACUAAUAAAUGUCCAUGAAAUCUUCACGAUCCACGUUCUUCCGCCAUGGCUUCAGCCAGUCCCUCCGUUUGGGGUCCCUGACUUCCCGCAACAGACAACUUGAGUUGCAUCAAACUAAAAAGCAUCUGCACUGCAAAGGGUACAGUUAACAGAAUGAAGACACGGGUUUUGAGAAACCAUUUUCAAAUCAUAUAUCUGAUAAGGGGCUAAUAUCCAAAAUGUAUUAAGAAACCCAAGCCCAAUAGCAAGAAAACAACUGUCUUUAAAAGGGGGAAAAGGACCUCAACUUAAAUUUUUCAGAGGAAGACAUGAGUGGCCAAUUGAUUGAUACAUGAAAAAAAUGCUCAACAUCUCUAAUCAUUAGUGAGUUGCAAAUCAAAACUGCAAGAUAUUACCUUACACCUUUUAGAAUGGCUAUUAUUAAAAGGAUGAAAGACAGGUGCUGGCAAGGAUGUGGAUAAAAGGAAGUCCCAACAUUCUGUUAGUGGGAAUAUAAAUUAGUAUAGCCAAUUUAGGAAACUAUAUGGUGGUUCCUUAAGAAACUAAAAGUACAAUUACUAUAUGAUCUAGCAAUCUCUACUUAGGUAUAUAUCCAAAGGAAUUGAAGCAGUAUGUUGAGAUCUUGCACUCCCUUAUUUUGAAAUUAUUUACAAAGCUAAUAAAUGGAAAAGACUUAAGUUUUCAUAACAGAUGAAUGGACAUAGAAGAUGUGUUGUAUAUACAUAUUGGAAUAUUUUUUAUCCUUGGAAAAGAAGGAAAAUUGUCAUUUGUGACAACAUGGAUGAAUCUGUAGUAUACUAUGCUAAGUGUUGUAAGACAGGCACAGAGAGGCAAAUACUACAUUAUAUUUGUAUGUGGAAUCUAAGAAAGGCUAACUCAUACAAGUAGAAAGUUGGAUGUUAUGGUUUCCAGGAUGUGGGUGUUGGAGAGAUGGGCAAAGGCAAGACGUUGGUCAAAGAGUACCAAUUUUCUGUUAGGAGGAAUAAGUUUUAGACAUAUUUCACAGCAUGGUGACCAUUGUCACUGACUGUAUAUUUUAAAAUUGUUAUAAGUAGAUAUUAAAGUUGUCACAACAAAAGUAGGUGAAGUUAUGGAUAUGUUAAUGUGCUUGAUUUAGUUAUUACACUAUGUAUACAUACAAAAACAUCAGAUAGUUCCCUGGAAUUAUAUACAAUUAUUACUUGUCAAUUAUAAAAAAAAGCCCUACUGCAACCACUAAAAAGGAUUUUCAUAUAAUAGAGGGAAAAAUCGUUAAAGAUAAUAAUACAUUAUUUUAGAAAAUAUUAACUUAUAAAAAGUAGUAUAGGAGGGAUUCUGUAAAAGAAGAUAGACAUAGAAUUUUAAAAUGUAUAAUGGAAAAUUUAAAUCCAGCUGUACUGAUGGAUCAAGCAAUCCAAACCAGUCUGAUUGACCAAGUGGAUAUUUAAAAAACAAUCAAACUAUAAGGUGUCUGUUGUAGGCAGUUUAUAAAAUACAAAAGUGUUGAAAGAAAUAGGAUGGAAAUAGAAAUAUCCAAGUAGCAACCACAAAAAAACUGGAAUGUCUGCACUAACAUCAUACAAAACAAACCAAAUGAAGGUUAAAAAUAUUGAAAUUAUACAAAAUAUGUUCUAUGACUAAAAUUUAAUGAAAUUAGAAAUAACACAGAGAUAGGAACUAUACAUAUUUGUGCAAAUUUAAAAAGUUAUGCUGAGUGUGGUGGCUCACACCUGUAAUCCCAGCACUUUGGGAGGCCGGGGAGGGUGGAUCACUUGAAGUCAGGAGUUGGAGACCAGCCUGGCCAACAUGGUGAAACCCUGUCUCUACUAAAAAUACAGAAAAUUAGCCAGAUGUGGUGGUGUGCGCCUGUAGUCCCAGCUACUCGGGUGGCUGAGGCACUAGAAUCACUUGAGCCUAGGAGGCAGAGGUGGCAGUGAGCCGAGAUCACACCACUGCACUGCAGCCUGGGCGACAAAGACUGUCAAAAAAAAAAAAAAAAAAAAAAAGUUACGUAACCAACAAGUCAAAGGAGAAUUUAUAAGGAAAUCAGAAAAUACUUUGAGGUGAAUGAAAAUACAGAAACAACAUAUCAAAUUCUGUGAGAUGUGUGAAAGCAACGCUUACAGUGAAAUUAAUAGCUAUGAACAUUGUAAUGAAAUGAGAAGUACUUCAAAUUACUAACCUAACUUUCCAACUUUAGAAAAUACAGUAAAAAAAGAACAAAUUAAAAUCAAAGCAGAAAGGAUAUAAAGUUUAGUGUGGAAAUAGAGAAUUAAAAAUAAUUGAGAAACACAGCACUUCGUUGACUUAUUCAUAAAAUAAAGCUUUAUUAAAAUGAGAAAUGUAAAACGUGAUGUUCCUAAUGACCUUAUUCCAUACAAGGGAUUAGUAUUUUGACAAAUAUCUUUGUGGAAGUAGACAAAUUCCUAGAAAGACACUGACUACCACAACUCAUUCAAGAACAAAGUGAAGACAAUAAAUUGGUAAUUUAAAAACUCUCACCCCUGCCCCUGACACACAUGUAAAUUCCCAGUUCAAAUGUAUUCUUUUGUAUAUUAUACCAAACACAUGAAAAUUACCAAUUCGAUAAAAAUGUCUUAAAAACUUGGAAGAGCAUGUAAUAUUUUUUACUGGUUCUAUGAUGCUAUUGUUAUCUAGAUACCAAAGUGAAACAUCAUACACAGGGAAAACUCUGAUAAUAUCGCUUAUGAGUGGAUCUGUGAAAUUUCCUAGUAAAUUUUGGCAAACCAAAUACAGUAACAUAUAAACAGGAAUGUACACCAGUACCCAGUACAGUGUAUCCCUGGAAUGCAACGUUAUUUCAUCAGCUGGAAAUGAUUAGUGCAACAGACUGAAGGAAGAAAACAACAUGGUCAUCUCAAUAGAUUGUGGACGGCUGGAAGUGGAGGCUCACGCCUGUAAUCCUAAUACUCCUACCAACAGUGUAUAAGCAUUCCUUUUUCUCUGUAACUUCACCAGAAUCUGUUUUUUUGUUUGUUUGUUUGUUUGUUUUUGACUUUGUAAUAGCCAUGGGCUGGGCUCAGUGACUCACGCCUGUAAUCCUAGCACUGGGGGAGGCUGAGGUGGGCGGAUCACUUGAGGUCAGGAGUUCGAGACCAGCCUGGCCAACAUGGUGAAACCCCAUCUCUACUAAAAAUACUAAAAUUACCUGUGCAUGGUGGCAAGUGCCUGUAAUCCCAGCUACUCGGGAGUCUGAGGCAGUAGAAUCACUUGAACCCAGGAGGUGGAGGUUGCAGUGAGCGGAGAUUGUGCCACUGCACUUGGACCUGGCUGACACAGCAAGACUAUGUUUAAAAAAAAAGAGAGAGAAAAAAAAAAUAGAAGGUGGAAAAAGUAUUUGGUAAACUAAGAAGUAAACCACAACCUAGUAAAGGGCAUAUUUUAAGAAUUCACAACUAGAACCUGGUGCCGUGGCUGUAAUCCCAGCACUUGGGGAAGCCAAAGCAGGAUUACUUGAGGCCAGAAGUCUGAGAUCAGCCUAGGCAAUAUAAGGAUACUCUGUAUCUUAAAAAAAAAAAAAAAAUCCAGAUGUGAUGACACAUGCCUGUACGCCUAGCUACUUGGGAAGCUGAGGUUCAUGUUUACAAUGAGCUAUGAUGAUGCCACUGUACUCCUGACUGAACAACAGAGUGAGACCCUGUCUCUAAAAAGCAAAACAAAACAGAAAACCCAAAACCCUCAAAACUAAUGUUACACUUAGUAUUUAAAGAAUGCUUUCUCUGUAAGAAGAGGAGCAAGGACAGGAUAAAACAUUCUUGCCAGUUCUGUUCAACAGUGUACUGGAAGUAUCUGUGACAUUAAUUGCAUUGCAUAUGGAAGGAAAUAAAAUUUUUUAAAUAGGAAGCAGCAAAACCUUUUGCAGAUGACAUGGUUUUGUACAUACACAACCCCAGUGGAUCCAAUAAAUUUGGAUUCCAAUAACAAGAUCAUCUCAGCAAGUUUUUGUGAUUUAAGAUUACAAUCCAAAAAUCAGUUGUAUUUCUAUAUAUUAUUAAAGAAGUCAAAAGUGACAUCAUUGAAACAUUUUUAUUUACAAUAUUAUUAAGGCAAAAUACUGUGGGAUAAAGUGAAAUUCAGCAUGAACUGUGAAUAACACAAAAUAUUUGUCAGAGGAGUUGAGGAAUAUCUACAUAUGUGGAAAGACAUCUCAUAUUUGUGGACUAGAAGAUUUAAGCAUCGCUAGGUGCGGUGGCUCACGCCUGUAAUCCCAGCACUUUGGUAGGCUGAGGUGGGCGGAUCACAAGGUCGGGAGUUCGAGACCAGCCUGGCCAAUAUGGUGAAACCCCGUCUCUACUAAAAAUACAAAAAAAUUAGGCGGGUGUGGUGGCGCAUGCCUGUAAUCCCAAUCCCUCUAGGCUGAGGCAGGAGAAUCUCUUGAUCCCGGGAGGCGGAGGUUGCAGUGAGCCAAGAUCGGGCCACUGCACUCCAGCCUGGGCAACAGAGCUAGGCUCCCUCUCAAAAAAAAAAAAAAAAAAGCAUCAAAAGGAUAGUUCAUUAAUGGAAAUAAUAAAUUGAAAAAGGGAAGGACAUCAAAGUUUAAUGCUUUUACUUUUUCAUAAUAACCAUAAAUAGUAUGAAAAUACAAACUAUAUUCAUGGAAAAUGUUUUGUUUUUAUUUUUUUUGAGACAGAAUUUUGCUCUUGUUUCCCAGGCUGGAGUGCAAUGGCACGAUCUCAGCUCACCACAACCUCUGCCUCCCGGGUUCAAGUGAUUCUCCUGCCUCAACCUCCCAAAUAGAUGGGAUUACAGGCAUGUGCCAGUACGCCCGCCUAAUUUUUUUGUUAUUUCUAGUAGAGAUGAGGUUUCUCCAUGUUGGUCAGGCUGGUCUCGAAUUCCCGACCUCAGGUAAUCUGCUCGCCUCUGCCUCCCAAAGUACUGGGAUUAUAGGUGUGAGCCACCAUGCCCGGCCCUUUGUUUUCAAAUCUCAUAUCCAACAUUGGACUUAUGGCUAGAAUAUUUACAUAAUUCUCAAAAGAUAGUAUUAAAAAUCCAAAGCUUUAAAUUAGAAAAUGGGCAAAAGUCAUGAAAGAACAUUCCCCUGAGGAUAGGGAAAUGUCAAUAAGGACAUGAUGGAAAUUAAUACUAUGAUGAGAUAUUACAGAAGAUUUAUUUUUCUUUGAGGCGGAGUCUGCCUCUGUCACCGAGGCUGGAGUGCAGUGGCAUGAUCUCAGCUCACUGCAACCUCCACCUCCCGGGUUCCAGCGAUUCUCCUGCCUCAGCCUCCCAAGUAGCUGGGAUUACAGGCGCCUGCCACCACGCCCAGCUAAUUUUUUUUUUUUUUUUUUUUUUUGUAUUUUUAGUAGAGACGGGGUUUCUCCAUGUUGGCCAAGCUGGUCUCAAACUCCUGACCUCAGGUGACCCACCUGCCUCAGCCUCCCAAAGUGCUGGAAUUAAGAGGUGUGAGCCACCACACCUGGCCUACAGCAGAUUUAUUUCAGUAGCUGAAAUAGUUAAAACAUAAUGAUUCCAAAGGCUGAGAAGCAUGCAGAAAAAAUUGAAUCUUUAUUGCUGAUGGGAAUAUAAAACUGUAUACCACAUUGGAAAAUAAUUUGGCAAUUUCUUUUAAAGCUAAACACACACAUACAGUUAGUUAGGCUUAGCAAUUGCUGUCAUGGCCUAUUUCAUAGAAAUGAAAAUUUAUGUGUAGACCAAACCUGCACUUGACUGUUCACAGAAAUUUUAUUUGUAAUAGUCAGAACCUGGAAACAACUCACAUGUUAUUCACCAGGUAAACAGUUAAAUAAGUCUGUUAUUUCCGUAUUGUGUAAUACAACUCAAAAAUUAAAAGGAAUAAACUACUACUAUACAAAUAAGCCUUAGAUGAUUCUCAAUUCUGAAGGAAAAACCCAUUUCAAGUUGUAACAUAAUGCUUAUUUUUAUGUAUCUUAAUGUGAUGAAGUUAAAUAGUUUAGAGAACAUUGUUCGUAUUCAUCUGUUAGGGAUGGUAGAAGUUAGGGUUGUAUGUGAUUAUAAGACUAGUGGAAGGGAUACGUUUUUAAUGAUGGAUGAGUUCUGCAUUCUGAUUCAUGCAGUGGUUACAAAAAUGUAUACAUGUGAUAAAAUGUCAUGUAAAUGUGCACAUUUCACCAAUGACAAUGUGCUGGUUGUGAUAUUGUACAAUGUUAAUGGAAAAUAUCACCACUGGGGAAAAUUGAGUGGUAUGUGUAAACGGUACUAUAUUUGCAGCAUUUUGUGAGUCUUUAUUUUAACAUAAUAUGUAAAUAUGUAAAGCAACUAGAAGAAUGGUUUUAAUACAGGAGAGUAACAGCUUAUAAGCAAGAGAAAGAAAAAUGAUAAAUAAUGUGAACACUUACCAAAGGAAGGGUGGAACAGAGAAAUAAAGGACAGGGAAAAUUAUCUGGGAUGAUUCCUAAAUUCCAAUAUUUGGAUGGAACUAUACAGAAUUUUAAUAUAUCUGGAAAAUAAACUGAAAAUAUUAACGGAUCCACAGAUAUUGAAGACUUAACCUUUUUUAUCUCAUUAUUCAUUAAAACAAGUGAAAUGUUAUAGGGAAUUCUUCAAAUUGAAAGAAGCAGCUCAUGCAUAACACAAAAACAUGAAUGUAUAAAACUGACUGGUAAAAGGUAAGUAACUCAAAUUCACAGUACUGGUAUACUGUAAUGGUGGUGUACAAAUAACGUAUAUCUUUAUUGUUAAGGUUAAUACACAAAACUUUUUUAAUGAGAUGGCUGUUGCUAUGUUGCUCAGGCUGGUCUGAAACUUCUGGGCUCAAGCAAUUUUCCCCCCUCAGCCUUCUGAUUAGACGGUAUUAUGGGCACCUGCCAUGAUGUCCAUCUACAAAACUAUUAAUAAUUACAACAAUUUGUUUAGCCAUAUGUGAUAUAAAUAUAUGUAAGGUGUGACAUCAAGAACAUAAUGGGUCACCAAAAUCUCAGAGUAAAAACACUCUGGUUUUACUCACCCCCAUAGAACCUCAGUAAUAUAUCCAGCACCAAUAUUAUCACAAGUUAUAUCCCAGAACUGAAAUCCGAGGCUGAGACAUUUCCUCAGACUACAGAGAAGUGAAAAACUUGGAGCAGAUGAUAAAAGG
rnacentral:lncRNA from 1 species